ensembl:lncRNA SLC7A14-AS1 SLC7A14 antisense RNA 1
CUCCUCCACUGAGAAGGGGUCAUCCACGUCGUAGCGUUGAUAAGUAAACUGAGGCCCAAAGAAGUUAAGUAAAUUUCCCAAAGUCACAAGACAAAGGAGGGGCAGAGCUGUGAUUUGAAGUUGGUGCUGUUUGACUCCAAAGGCUGUCAGCUUCUUUGGGCAAAGACUGAGUCAUCUCUGCAUUCUCAGCACCUGGUGCAAUUUAAGCAGAAAUAUCUUGAAGAUUUUUCGUAUCUUCAGGGAGAUUAGGAAUGGGAAUGGAAUGGGAACGCCAAUGCAGGAAGGAUGAGAAGUCUGCAGAUGCCUCCAAGGAGUCCGAAACCAAGUCCGAAGUCAACGACAAGCAAUGAUGGCGAUGGCGAUCCUAGUUAAUAAAAAGGGGGGAGAUGUGGGCUGCAAGCCACCCAGGUGCCGAGGCAAGAGACCGAGGACAUGAGCUGUUCCAGUAUAAUAAAAUAUAAAACAAGAAUAGUUAUACCAGAUAUAGAUCUUAGAUAUGAUUAUAUAUGAAUAUAAUUAAUCAUUAGUUUGUGGCAAUUACUCUUUAUUCCAAUAUUAUAAUAAUCCUCGCUCUAUAAUCAUAACCUAGGAAAAACCAGGCCAUACAGAGAUAGGAGCUGAGGGGACAUAGUGAGGAGUGACCAGAAGACAAGAGUGCGAGCCUUCUGUUAUGCCCAGACAGGGCCACCAGAAGGGCUCCUUGGUCUAGCGGUGACGCCAGUGUCUGGGAAGAUGCCCGUUGCCAGGCGGACCGAGGUCUAGCGGUAGCGUAAGUGUCAAGGGAAAACACCUGCUACUUAGCAGACCGGGAAAGGGAGUCUCCCUUUCCCCGGGGGAGUUUAGAAAAGACUCUGCUCCUCCACCUCUUGUGGAGGGCCUGACAUCAGUCAGGCUCGCCCACAGUUAUCCAGAGGCCUAACCGUCUCCCUGUGAUGCUGUGCUUCAGUGGUCACGCUCCUAGUCCGCCUUCAUGUUCCAUCCUGUUCACCUGGCUCUGCCUUCUAGAUAGCAGUAGCAAAUUAGUGAAAGUACUAAAAGUCUCUGAUAUGCAUAAAUAACGGCGUAAGCUGUCUUUCUCUUUGUCUCCUCUCUCUCUCUGCCUCAGCUGCCAGGCAGGGAAGGGCCCCCUGUCCAGUGGACACGUGACCCACGUGACCUUACCUAUCGUUGGAGAUCACUCACACUCUUUACCCUGCCCCUUUUGCUUUGUAUCCAAUAAAUAGCGCAGCCUGGCAUUCGGGGCCACUACCGGUCUCUGCGCAUUGGUGGUAGUGGUCUCCCGGGCCCAGCUGUCUUUUCUUUUA